rnacentral:lncRNA from 1 species
CAGGAAUAGCAGCAGCCUCUGGAAUUCCUUAUCUAUAACUCAUUUAAUAAAUUGAAUAUCAGGCAUCAGUGAUCUUCAUCGUCAUAGAAAGUGAACAGCAUCCAUUUUAUUUCCUUCACCAGCCCCUUUCUGUGUGUUGCCUUUGCCUUUAUGCUUUAUCCCCAGCUUUUCUUUAAUUUUAAGGAUUGUUUUCUGGGCCCAGGCACUUUAAUUUUUUUUUUAAGCAAAAAGGAGCAAAUUCCAUAUCUACUAUGGAUUAAAAAAGACAAAUGAUCAUACUAGCUAACCACAUCUACUUUUAUCAAAGAAAGAGAUAGAGGAAUGAAUUCUUUUAAGUCAGGCUAAAUAAAAUAUUAUUUAAGGUAUACAGGUAAUUGAAGAAAUCAGGUUUUCCCUUUACCCAUUUUAUAUCUAGAUAAUUGCCUCAUUCCACCCCUUCUUCAUCACCCUAUCCCCUUCUUUUGCUGCACAAACCACCUGGCUUUCCUUUUUGUGAUAUUUACUUUUUCUUUAACUAGGUACCCUUCAANCAAAAGAUAGAGAGAGAGAGAGAGAGAGAGAGAGAGAGAGAGAGAGAGAGAGGGACUAUCCAGUCUGCAUCACUACUUAAAACUAUUAGAAGAUAGCAAUUCACUAGUUGGGACGAUACAAUUCAAAACACCAAAAAGAUAACAGGUUUUGAGAAAUUGGCAUAUGUUAGUGAUUAUGCAAUCAUUCAUUUCCCACAGAUUUCUUUUUAUAGGAAACUUUGGAAAAUCCCAAAAGAACUGACCGAGUCAUUCAAACCACAACAGGUUUCUUUCAACAUCAAAACCAUGGGUAGGAGUGGGCGAGGAAUCAUUUUCUUUUUUUUUCUCUCUCUCUCUUUUCUUUUCUUUCUUUUUUGCUUUUCUUUUCCUUUUCAUUUCCUGUCCUUUCCUGUCCUUUUUGUCUUUCUUUUUUAAGCAUGGACAGCCUGGUCCGAGUGUGCAAAGCUGUGGCUUCCCCUCCUGUGGAUGCCUUCUGAACAGCAGAUCUGACUUCCUCCUCAAACCAAGGCAUCCUGAAAACAUCCAAGCAGAGGAAGCAUUUUUUCACCAUGACAUGGGAAAGGGCCAUAGAGAUCCAAAUGGAAACGGACAUUUCAUGCUUUGAUUGCCAAGAUUUCCAAGCAUGGAUAACUGAAGAAGAUUGCUUGAAUUGACUUCAGCACAAAUGAAUUCCUUAAAAAAUGGUUUGGAUAGAUAUAGCCUCACAUAUAGAAAAAUUUAACCAAUUUCAGAGAAUAAAUCAACAGAGCAUGGCA